rnacentral:rRNA from 1 species
CCUACGGGGGGCAGCAGUGGGGGAUAUUGCACAAUGGGGGAAACCCUGAUGCAGCGACGCCGCGUGUGGGAAGACGGUCCUCUGGAUUGUAAACCACUGUCCCCAGGGACGAAAAUGACGGUACCUGGGGCGGAAGCUCCGGCUAACUACGUGCCAGCAGCCGCGGUAAUACGUAGGGAGCGAGCGUUGUCCGGAAUUACUGGGUGUAAAGGGAGCGUAGGCGGGGAUGCAAGUUGGGUGUCAAAACUACCGGCUCAACUGGGAGUCGCACUCAAAACUGCAGCUCUUGAGUGAAGUAGAGGCAGGCGGAAUUCCUAGUGUAGCGGUGAAAUGCGUAGAUAUUAAGAGGAACACCAGUGGCGAAGGCGGCCUGCUGGGCUUUGACUGACGCUGAGGCUCGAAAGUGUGGGGAACAAACAGGAUUAGAUACCCUAGUAGUC